rnacentral:sRNA from 1 species
GCUGGGUAUGGUGGCGCAUGCCUGUAAUCCUAGUGGGUUGGGAAUCUGAGACAGGAGGAUCGCAGGUUCAAAGCCAGCACUAAGCAACUCAGUGAGUCCCUUUCUCUA